UACAGAGGUGGCAAGCGUUGUUCGGAAUUACUGGGCGUAAAGGGCUCGUAGGCGGCCUCCUAAGUCAGACGUGAAAGCCCUCGGCUCAACCGGGGAACGGCGUCUGAGACUGGAAGGCUUGAAUCCGGGAGAGGGAUGCGGAAUUCCAGGUGUAGCGGUGAAAUGCGUAGAUAUCUGGAGGAACACCGGUGGCGAAGGCGGCAUCCUGGACCGGUAUUGACGCUGAGGAGCGAAAGCCAGGGGAGCAAACGGG
rnacentral:rRNA from 1 species